rnacentral:rRNA from 1 species
UUGCCUACGGGAGGCAGCAGUGAGGAAUAUUGGUCAAUGGGCUUACGCCUGAACCAGCCAAGUCGCGUGAGGGAAGACUGCCCUAUGGGUUGUAAACCUCUUUUGUCAGGGAGCAACGCCGGCUACGUGUAGCCGGACUGAGAGUACCUGAAGAAAAAGCAUCGGCUAACUCCGUGCCGGCAGCCGCGGUAAUACGGAGGAUGCGAGCGUUAUCCGGAUUUAUUGGGUUUAAAGGGUGCGUAGGCGGAACAUUAAGUCAGCGGUAAAAUCGAGGGGCUCAACCCCUUUAAGCCGUUGAAACUGGG